GCCCUGGUAGCUCAAUUGGUCAGAGCGUCGGACUUUUACGGUCAUCCUUUCUGGAGCGAGUUAUCCGAAGGCUGCGGGUUCGACCCCCGCCUGGGGCG